GAGUUGAGAGUAUCAGAUGAAGAACACAGAAAACUUUUAUCUAGGGUAAAUGCGGAUGAUGUCAUCAAAAGGAUAAGGGAAUGGAGAACUGCAAAUGGGCUCCAACCUGGAAAGCUCAAUUCUGAUCAACCCAUGGCUGAUCCCGUACCCAGCCCCACUGCCUCAGCAUCACGGAAGAAACAGAAAACAUCCCAGGCCUCUUUGUCCCAAGGUGCGCCUACUCCUGCAAUACCCCCUGGUACACAACCAUCUUCAUCAGCCUUAAGACGUGGUCCACCCCCUGGAGCUAGGACUACAAAGACAAAACCAUCCAUGCAUACAGGUCCUACGGGAAGUGGCCAAGCGAACAAUCGAGGUUCUUUAGGGGCCUUUGCUUCAAAUGAAAAUGCUGAAGGAGCAACCCACGAACCGUUAAUUGGACGGAAAGUUUGGACUAGG
rnacentral:misc_RNA from 1 species